GUGAAUCAUCAAAUUUUUGAACGCAAAUUGCACCCUCUGCUAUUCGGGAGAGUAUGCGUGGUUGAGGGUCAGUAUAAUCAAAAUCGGAGCGAUGCUUUUUGGGUGACGCACCGGAGUUUGGGUUAUCUUAACUCUUUUUUUUUAGAGACCUCAUAUUAACAUUCUUUUUUGCUCACUUUUGAGUCGUACGUAAUUUUUUUUUAUUCGUCUACCCUGUGUGCAAAAAUUUUAUUAGAUCGGGAAUCACGUAGAGUGGACCCGCGUCUAUAAUCAUCAUC
rnacentral:misc_RNA from 1 species